rnacentral:lncRNA from 1 species
UGGAGGUGAAAUUCAUGGAGGAAUAUAUGGUGUAAGGUUCAAGAAAAAUAAGACAUUCCCAGACUACUGGUCAGGAUGAGAGGACAACUGGCAACAAGAGAUGUGCAGAUAAAGAUUACUCAGAGAAUCAUGAGUGAUGUGACUGAUACCAUCAUGACCUCACUCCUCUUGUACAUGAAUUCAAGGCGAC